AUUGAACGCUGGCGGCAGGCCUAACACAUGCAAGUCGGACGGUAGCACAGAGAGCUUGCUCUUGGGUGACGAGUGGCGGACGGGUGAGUAAUGUCUGGGGAUCUGCCCGAUAGAGGGGGAUAACCACUGGAAACGGUGGCUAAUACCGCAUAACGUCGCAAGACCAAAGAGGGGGACCUUCGGGCCUCUCACUAUCGGAUGAACCCAGAUGGGAUUAGCUAGUAGGCGGGGUAAUGGCCCACCUAGGCGACGAUCCCUAGCUGGUCUGAGAGGAUGACCAGCCACACUGGAACGGAGACACGGUCCAGACUCCUACGGGAGGCAGCAGUGGGGAAUAUUGCACAAUGGGCGCAAGCCUGAUGCGGCCAUGCCGCGUGUAUGAAGAAGGCCUUCGGGUUGUAAAGUACUUUCAGCGGGGAGGAAGGCGGCAAGGUUAAUAACCUUGCCGAUUGACGUUACCCGCAGAAGAAGCACCGGCUAACUCCGUGCCAGCCGCCGCGGUAA
rnacentral:rRNA from 1 species